AUUGAACGCUGGCGGCAGGCCUAACACAUGCAAGUCGAACGAGUGGCGGACGGGUGAGUAAUGUCUGGGAAACUGCCUGAUGUAGGGGGAUAACUCCUGGAAACGGUAGCUACUACCGCAUACCAUCAGCUGUGCCCAGAGGGGAUUAGCUGGUUGGGGGGGUAACGGCUCACCAAGGCGACGAUCCCUAGCUGGGCUGAGAGGUUGACCAGCAACACUGGAACUGAUACACGGCCCAGACGCCGACGGGAGGCAGCAGUGGGGAAUAUUGCACAAUGGGCGCAAGCCUGAGGCAGCCAUGCCGCGUGUAUGAAGAAGGCCUUCGGGUUGUAAAGUACUUUCAGCGGGGAGGCGGUACCCGAAGAAGAAGCACCGGCUAACUACGUGCCAGCCGCCGCGGUAAUAC
rnacentral:rRNA from 1 species